rnacentral:tRNA from 1 species
GCGUGGCCUAGUGGUUAGGACGCCGGGCUAAGAACCUGGGGGUCGCGGGUUUGA